GGAGAAGUAUCGAAGUGGUCAUAACGAGCCGCACUCGAAAUGCGGUGUACCGUAAGGUACCGUGGGUUCGAAUCCCACCUUCUCCGCCA
rnacentral:tRNA from 1 species